GAUGAACGCUGGCGGCGUGCCUAAUACAUGCAAGUCGAGCGAACAGACGAGGAGCUUGCUCCUCUGACGGUAGCGGCGGACGGGCGAGUAACACGUGGAUAGCCUACCUAUAAGACGGGGAGAACUUCGGGAAACCGGUGCCAAUACCGGAUAAUAUAUUGAACCGCAUGGUGCAAUAGUGAAAGACGGUUUUGCUGUCACUUUUAGAUGGAUCCGCGCCGCAUUAGCUAGUUGGUAAGGUAACGGCUUACCAAGGCGACGAUGCGUAGCCGACCUGAGAGGAUGAUCGGCCACACUGGAACUGAGACACGGUCCAGACUCCUACGGGAGGCAGCAGUAGGGAAUCUUGCACAAUGGGCGAAAGCCUGAUGGAGCCACGCCGCGUGAGUGAUGAAGGUCUUCGGAUCGUAAAGCUCUGUUAUUAGGGAAGAACAAAUGUGUAAGUAACUCUGCACGUCUUGACGGUACCUAAUCAGAAAGCCCCGGCUAACUACGUG
rnacentral:rRNA from 1 species